rnacentral:rRNA from 1 species
UACAGAGGUCUCUAGCGUUGUUCGGAUUCAUUGGGCGUAAAGGGUGUGUAGGCGGCGAAGUGAGUCAGGUGUGAAAUCUUGAGGCUCAACCUCAAAAAUGCACUUGAUACUGCUUUGCUUGAGAGCUGAAUGGGAGAUUGGAAUUCACGGUGUAGCAGUGAAAUGCGUAGAUAUCGUGAGGAAGACCAGUGGCGAAGGCGACUGACUGGACAAGUAUUGACGCUGAGGUGCGAAAGCGUGGGGAGCAAACAGG